UGCCAGCCGCCGCGGUAAUACGGAGGGAGCAAACGUUGUUCGGAUUUACUGGGUGUAAAGGGUGCGUAGGCGGCCCCGUGUGUCAGAGGUGAAAUCCCACGGCUCAACCGUGGAAUUGCCUUUGAAACUGCAGGGCUUGAGUCCGGAAGAGGAAGGUGGAAUUCCUGGUGUAACGGUGAAAUGUGCAGAUAUCAGGAAGAACACCCGUGGCGAAGGCGGCCUUCUGGUCCGGAACUGACGCUGAGGCACGAAAGCUAGGGUAUCGAACGGGAUUAGAUA
rnacentral:rRNA from 1 species